GGUGAACGCUGGCGGCGUGCUUAAGACAUGCAAGUCGAACGCAGUCUUCGGACUGAGUGGCGCACGGGUGAGUAACACGUAACUGACCUACCCCCAAGUCGCGGAUAACUGGCCGAAAGGUCAGCUAAUACGUGAUGUGAUGUCCCCUUUCUGGGGGGCCAUUAAUGGUUUACUGCUUGGGGAUGGGGUUGCGUUCCAUCGGCUGGUUGGCGGGGUAAAGGCCCACCAAGGCAACGACGGAUAGCCGGCCUGAGAGGGUGGCCGGCCACAGGGGCACUGAGACACGGGUCCAACUCCGACGGGAGGCAGCAGUUAGGAAUCUUCCACAAUGGGCGAAAGCCUGAUGGAGAGACGCCGCGUGAGGGAUGAAGGUUCUCGGAUCGUAAACCUCUGAAUCAGGGACGAAAGACGCGUAAGCGGGAGGACGGUACCUGAGUAAUAGCACCGGCUAACUCCGUGCCAGCCGCCGCCGUAA
rnacentral:rRNA from 1 species